GUAACAUAAUGUUUACGUUAAUAUCUUAAAUAAAUGUAUUUCAACGAACUUGUAUUUUAAGUUAGUUAAAUUGAGAUGCAUAUUGAUGAGGAUGUCGAUGGGUGUAAAGAAUAAAGAAUAAUUGACAAAAUUUGCAAAAAGGGCAAACAGUGCAAAACAAAAAUAAAGGGAAAUAAUCAAAGCAUAGCGAAAAAAACGGCAAAAUAAUUGGCAAUAGACAACAUGCAUGGACAAUAAAGAACUUGUAAAGAAUGAAUAAUAAUUAUAUAAUAUUAGUAGAGAGAAACAAUGUCUUAAAAUAAAGAAUACAUAAAUGACGGACACCAUCAACAUCUAAUGUAUAUAUGUAUCAUAUAUAUAUCAUAAAGACCGUGCAAAG
rnacentral:lncRNA from 1 species